GGUUGUGGGUUCAGGCAGGAGCCCCAGGGAGGUUUUGGGGUCCCAGCUUGUCAUGUCCCCUUGUGGUACCUGCAAUCAGGGUGUUGCUGUGCCCAACUGAUCCAUGGCUUCCCUGGGAAAACUCUCAGAGUAGUAGGUUUGGGACAGGGACAUGGCCCCAUAUGACACUGCCUCUUUUUGUUCCUGCACGGGGCAACCCCAGUGUCUAACCACUCUGCUUCAGCCCAUGAGGGACCAGAAGGCCCCCUGUGUACUCUGCACUGCAUCUGGAUGUGGCCCUGUUCCCUCAACCUCUCGCAUCUCCUAUCUGCUACCACAAGAGCAAUGCCACAGCAUAAUUGCAUCUGCAAGGCCUUCAAACAAAAUAAACAGCCCAAUGAUUUGCUGAUUCACCACAAACUGUGCCUCAUGACUGACCUGGACAGGCGGGUAGGAGCGGCUGGGCAAGGUGCUCGUGUCCCAGCCCGGUUGUCUGAUUGCACCUGGUUGUCUUGAUUGUCUCAUUACACACUGGGCAACGCGUCCCAACUUUCUAUCGCACAGCACCGUUUCAGACACAUCCUGGGUGCCCCACUGCUGCACGGAUGGCCCUGGGGUCCCCGUGCAUUGCUGAAGCCCACAGCAAGGCCGGGAAAACUGUGGAGGGGAGAGGCGAAGGGCGGGAGGGUAGGGGGUGGGCAGGGUUUCCGUGUACCCAGCACUCACCUGUGCCGCCUAAACACCUGCAGUGCUUUCGCUUUCCACUUUCACUCCUUGGAACCUGCCGGGACAAAGCAGGGCCAUGGGGCUGCUGUGGUCGGGGGGCAUCCGCCUGCUGCUGCUGCUCCUGCUGCUGCUGCUGCUGCUGGGGGUCCUGGGCGGGGCGGCAAGAGAGCCCCACUCCCUGCGCUAUUUCCACACCAUGGUUUCGGACCCGGGCCCGGGGUUGCCACAGUUUGUGGCCGUGGGGUCCGUGGACUGGGAGGUCUUUGUGUACUACGACAGCGAGACCCGGAGAAAGGUGCCCUGGGUGGACUGGAUUGUGGCCCAUAUGGAUCAGCAGUACUGGGACAGGGAGACGGAGACCUCAUGGGGGAGUGAGCAGAUUUUCCACGUGGGCCUGGACACACUGCGGGAGCGCUACAACCAGAGCAGGGAUUCAAAGAACGGAGGCUGGUUAAGAAGACAGGAUGGAUGAAGAGUUAGGGAAGAAAGCAAGGCAGGCACUCUGGCUUCGAGAACUGACCCAGUAACUGUGCACAGACCAAGGUCCACAAGGGGCACAGCCGGAGAUGGCUGAAGCAAGAGUAGAAGUGAGAAAGGAAGAGUCUCAGGGAAAUCUGGAGUAUGGAGCUCCCUUACACAGUAAAGAGCUCAGCAGUACACCGGGGAAUCUGGUUAACCCGUUAGUUAAGCCGGAAGCCCAGACCCCGCACUGCCCACAGUGCUUUCACUUUCGCUUCUGGCAACGUGCGGGACCGCGAUCUACCCGGCGCCCGGUGACGUCAUAAGA